AUACAGAGGGUGCGAGCGUUAAUCGGAAUUACUGGGCGUAAAGCGCGCGUAGGCGGCUUGGUCAGUCGGAUGUGAAAGCCCCGGGCUCAGCCUGGGAAUGGCAUUCGAUACUGCCAGGCUAGAGUAUGGGAGAGGGAAGUGGAAUUUCCGGUGUAGCGGUGAAAUGCGUAGAUAUCGGAAGGAACACCAGUGGCGAAGGCGACUUCCUGGCCCAAUACUGACGCUGAGGUGCGAAAGCGUGGGGAGCGAACAGGAUUAGAAACCCUAGUAGUCC
rnacentral:rRNA from 1 species